AGUUGCGACCCAGACACAUUUUCUUCCCCCACUCCCGCCUUAACUUGGUGAUUGGCUGUUGUAAAUUGCAUCGAAAGUGAUACGCCUUUCAGUGCUGAGAACCAUCAUGGGUCUGUGCCUAUGAUGUAAGGGGGAAAGGGAUCCAAACAGUCGAGCAACAUGAGUUUGUGUCUUUUGUAACAACUGUGCAUUGCUUGUGUGUGCUGCUAAUUAUUCCUGAUUCACAUGCCCUCAGUUGAUGCUUUUGGAAAUUAAAUGGGCAUGCCUUGUAUGGUGUGGAGAGAGAGGCUUGCUCAUUUUCUCUCCUUUCACACACUGCCCUUAUGCCUGCUGUUGCUCCAACAAGUGGCAUCAUCCUUAGUUCCUGACAUCCCAACAUGGGCAGUCAGAUGUUGCUGUCUGCUUUCAGAAUUACAAACCCACCCACUUGUACUUCUUUGCAGGAGUGAGGUAGCUUGCCAAAGAACGGGAAGUCACCAGAGUGAACAUCGUGGAGCCAUUGACACCAUGUUCUGUUUCUUAACCAAGGAGGAGGCUAGCCACUCUCUGGGCACCUAACUUGCAACAGCUCCCCUGGAGAUAGACCCACAUAAAACCAUUUUAUUCUUGACAUCACUCCAGCAUUUCUGCAGAGCAUCAGUCUGGACAGAACUUGGUAUUCUUGCUUCUUUUCCACUGACUUUUUAAGAAGCCAGUUAUUGAAGAUCCAGGGUAAUAAAAGCAGCUUGAACUUCAUUACCCUCUCUCCAGCAUUAGAUACUGAAGGCCACGGUGAGUGAUACUGUGUAUAAAAUACGAAGCAGAGAAUUAAAUGCAACUUGAUGGUACAUGUUGUACCUUAAUGAAAACAAAGGCUCAGGAACACUAUUUGUGAACGUGUUACCCAAUAAAGUGUUAGCAAUGGAGCUCAUAAAGCUG
rnacentral:lncRNA from 1 species